GAUCACAUUAUAUUUCAACCUUUUAAAUCCAUCUCAUGGAUUAUCCUAACUAAGAUUUUACUGAAUUGAAAUAUACUGAUGCAUAUCUCCUACUAAUUCAGAGGGAUCAAUUCUAUCUUGACUCACACACCGACUUGAUAAGUACUUGGCUGCAUCCAGUAGCCAUCUGAUACUGAGUUAGAAACUCAAAUCAUCUGGUAUUAAAGUACAGUGAGUUGCUUAUAAGUCACCAUGGUGGUCUC
rnacentral:lncRNA from 1 species